rnacentral:lncRNA from 1 species
AAGUCAUGACUCCCUACAAGACAAAAAACAGGUUUGCUUAUUUUGCUACAAACCAAUAAGUUCUUCAGCCAUGCUGCAAAUCCACUGUGUAUCCAGUUCCCAUCUGCGGCCCGCACAUCAUCCCCAUGGGACUUGAGAGCAAGAGGAUCCCACGCAAAUCAUGUUGCUUGCUGUGCUCCCUCUCUGUAUGAGUUUAACAGAACAGUUGAAUCGCACAAUCAAGUUGCAAAAUGAAAAGAGCUACCUGCAAACAGUUCUGAGAACUGCCCACCCACCUGCCCUGAGGAUUUACAAUACAAAAAAGAAAAUUGAUGUGUGUGGCUCCCUUGUUAUUUUGUUAAAGCCAUCAAACGAAUAACCGAAGAACUAUAUGGUAACAGAAAAUGGAGUUUACAUUCCAUCUAGUCAUUCAGGAGGUGAAGCUCCCAGUUUG